GUCCACGCCCUAAACGAUGUCAACUAGGUGUUGGGGGAGCGAUUUCUCAGUACCGUAGCUAACGCGUGAAGUUGACCGCCUGGGGAGUACGGCCGCAAGGUUAAACACAAGGAAUUGACGGGGACCCGGCACAAGCGGUGGAUGAUGUGGAUUAAUUCGAUGCAACGCGAACAACCUUACCUACCCUUGACAUGUCCGGAAGCCUGCCGAGAGGUGGGUGUGCCUGAAAGGGAAUCGGAACACAGGUGCUGCAUGGCUGUCGU
rnacentral:rRNA from 1 species